ensembl:snRNA U6 U6 spliceosomal RNA
CCUGUCUAGAAAAGCAAAACAAACAAAAGGAACAACACAGAGAUCAACAUGGCCCCUGUGCAAGGAUGACACACAAAUUUAUGAGUGUUCCAUAUUUUU